UCAAAACACCUGGUGCAUUAAGAUCACACCUCUCAAGGUCACACACAUCUGUGAAAAUCCAGGAAAAUUCAACUUUUCAAUGUGAAUUGUGUCAUUUUAGAGAGAUUUGCAGUGACAAAGCGUUUUUGAACCACCUUGGCCAUCAUUUAAAGAAUCGUGAAACUGUGGCAUGUCCAUUUCUAAGCUGUUCCUUCAAAACAAAUUUGCGUCCAACUUUCAGUUCUCACAGGAGUCGAAAUCAUAAAAAUUUUACACUUAAAGAUUUUAGAACCUUAGCCAGAGCCAGUAGUGAACACGGGGCAAAUUAUGAUGAACAAUCUGAAUUUGAAGCAGGGACAUCAUCGCAAAAUAGUUUGAGACCAGAUGAUGCUGAUGAGACAGUCGAAGAUGUGGACAGUGAGACACUUCAGCACAAGUUGGCUUCUCUCUUUCUGUCAAUGCAAACAGUCUUACAUGUUUCUAGAGAUUCAAUACAAAAGAUUGUAGAGGAUUUGCAUGACCUGCUCUCUUUUUCUAGCAAUGAGACUCUCAAUAGUGUCAAAGAGAUCCUUACAAAGCAUAACAUUGUAAUAAGUGAUACUGUUUUGCAAGAAAUAUCUAAUACUAUUGUUCAAACUAAUCCACUCCUUUUAACAACAUCUGAAAAAGGUUCCCUAUCUACUGACCAUAGAAGGAAUUUAUAUUUCAAGGAACACUUUAGUGUUAUAGAACCUACAGAAUAUCUUUAUGACACUGCCCAAAAAGAUGCAUUUGUGUAUGUUUCUGUCACUAACAUACUUGAGACUUUACUAGGGCGAGCAGAUUUUUUGGACAGAGUUGUAUUUGAUCAAGAAACAUUAUCUGGCAAUUUUAACUCUUUUCAAGAUGGCAAAUAUUUCAAGGAAAAUAAGCUACUGAGCCAGCAAAACAUUAGUAUCAGUUUGGCAUUGUAUAUUGAUGAUUUUGAAGUUUGUAACCCUCUGGGCACCUCUAGAAAACUUCACAAGAUAACUGCAGUAUAUUGGGUUCUUCUAAAUUUACCAGCCAGGUUCCGAUCAAGUCUCACUUCAAUUCAGCUAGCUCUCUUGGGUAAAAGUGUGGAUGUCAAACAAUACGGUUAUGAAAAGUUUCUUGAGCCGUUGAUUAAAGAUUUAAGGUGUCUAGAAGAAGAGGGAAUUUUUGUUGAAGUUGUUGAUCAACUGGUAAAGGGCACUGUGUUCUGUGUGUGUGCCGAUAACCUCGGAGCACACAGUCUUGCAGGGUUUUUUGAAAGUUUCAAUGUUGAUAAAUUCUGCCGGUUUUGCUUGAUAAGUCGGCAGCAAAUAGCUACAACUGUAGAAAUUGAUUUUCAGUUGAGGGAUGUUGAUCAACACAACACUUUUUUGGAAGAGCUCAGACAGAAUGACAACCUCCAAAGCAUUUGUGGCAUAAAAAGUGAUUGUGUACUGAGAAAAAAUCUACGGUUCUUUCAUCCAAUAACUGGAUUUCCCCCAGAUGUUUUGCAUGACCUUUUUGAAGGGGUUAUCCCUGUAGAAUUGUGUUUGUGUUUAAAGAAUCUGAUUUCAAAAGGUUACAUUACAUUUGAUGCAUUAAACGAGUGCAUAAAUUCGUUUCCUUACAAGUAUUCAGACAAGGUAAACAAACCACACAAAAUUCCUAAAGGAAACUUUGCAAAAUGCAGUGUUGGUGGUAAUGGACAUGAAAACUGGACACUUCUUCGCUUACUUCCUUUCAUAAUUGGAAGAAGGAUACCAGAACAGGAGCCUGCAUGGGAGAUUUUAAUGGACCUUAAAGAAAUUGUGGACAUUGUAGUGUCAAAUAGACUCUCAGAGGAAACAUUGUGUUACUUGUCUUGUAAACUACUGGAUCAUCGCAAGUUGCUCACCAGCACCUUUCCGGACUUCAGAUUGAGGCCAAAACACCACUUCAUUGACCACUACCCACAUCUUAUUCGCUGCUUUGGACCUUUAGUGGAAUUGUGGACAUUGAGGUUUGAAGCUAAGCAUAGCUUCUUUAAGAGGGUGAUCCAUGACACCCGCAAUUGGAAAAAUGUGCUGCUAACUCUUUCCUCAAAACAUCAGCAAAUGAUGGCAUUGCAUUUGGAUCGUCAAAAUCUUUUCAAGCCAAAACUAUACAUUGAAAAUGUGACAGUGGUCAGGGUUUCAGAACUGGAUCCAUCACUUAAGUGUGAAAUACAAAAGAAAUACCCACAUCUUGAUAGUGUCUCUCUUGCAAAAUCAGUUCACCUCUAUGGAACACAGUAUGCAAAGGACAUGAUUGUAUCUGCUGGCCAGUGUGGUGGCCUUCCGGAAUUCCACAAGAUUGCAACAAUUCUUGUCAAUGCAGAGCAAGUGACUUUCAUUUGUAAAAAACUUUCUUCGUGGUACCUUGAACAUUUCAGGUCUUUUGAGCUGGUUGAACACCACUGUGCAGAAAUUAUUCUCUUGGAUCAAGAUAUGCUCGCAGAUUACCACCCUCUAGCAGCAUACACAGUUGGUGGAAAGGUGAUGGUGACCACAAGGACAUUCAUUCUUCAUUAAAACAUCUCAAAAUGACUUUGUUACUCCGCGUGGUUGUCUCCCCCAAAGAAGCCCGCCGACUACAGCUUUCUCAAGUUCCUGAAUCUGUAGCCCAACUUGUCGAUGUGAUAAAAGAAAGACUUGAGAUUCAAGAAGACUUCUCACUCCAGUUUGAGGAUCCAGACUUUGGAAAUGCACUGUGCAACUUGACAGCAAUGUCGGAAUUGCCAGCUGAGCGCGCAGUCAUUCAUAUCAUAUCGGACUGUGAUUCAUCUUCCACUGACCGUUCCACUAGUUCACUUUCCUCAACAGAUACCAUAAGUGUUCACUCUGACAUGUUCAGCUCUAGCUAUACUGACUCUAUUCAGAGCAAUUUGAGGCAUCUCAACGAGUGGCCCUCUCCAUUUCCUAUCCCUAAGUUCUCACAUGAUGUUGAACUGAAAUUGCGCAAGGGCAAUGAGACUUAUGAGAAGUCUAAGAAGGGCCUUGAUGUUACAAGAGACAUUAAAAGUGACAUAUUGGAUAAAAUUGCACAGGCAAUUUUUGAUAUCAAAGGUUACCCUGAGAGAGAUGAAAUCGAAUCAGUUGCUUCUUCACUGGUUCUCAAGUAUCCGUGCCUAAAGGAACCAGGUAGCAUCACAGGCUACGAAGGAUGGAAAACAAGUAUCCGUUACAAGCUUGGAAACUACAGGUCAAAGUUGCGUGAGGCAGGCUGCAAUGAGGUGAAUGUAAACAGCAAAAAGAAAAGGGGAGAUGAAGAUGGUGGUCCAUUCAUCCUGAAAAAGCCCAAACGUGGGGAGGUGAAUCAUGUUCCAAAUCAUCCCCAACACCAUGAUGAUUCUUCUCUUGAAGAGGAAAGAGUUCUUCUAGUAGAAGAAAUGAAGAAGAAAAAGAAGAACACAACAUUGAUACAGAACAAGAUGGAGCUGACAUUUUCCCUAAGACGUAUAGAGGUUGUAGAGGGGCAGCCCAUGGUGUCAGAGGUCCAGGAGAGAUGGCCUGCACUGUUUACAUUGGAGGAGAUUUCUCAGGAAUUUCAUCGGAUCACCAGCAAAGAUCUCUUGGAGACCUUCAGAGCAUCCCUUGACAUGUAUGUGCCGCACCUACUGAGACUGUACCGGGCUAAGAGGGAAGCUUGUGGUCGGAAAAUGGAAGACCUCCUUGAUACACUUGAUGAACAGACAUCGGACAUACUGUCUCAUCGAAAGACAGCAGCAAUGAAAGGUCUCCCCAUCUUUGUCCGGGAUGAUGCCACAACAUUUUUCCUCCAACGUUCAGCCACUGAACCUGAAGACAGGGCUCUCAGCGGAGUGUCUGUUGCCAUCCUCACCAUCAUUGAAGAUGAUGAUGCGCCGAAUGUAUUGGAUGUAGCUGUUGUGUUGGAAGGAGCCAUUGUGCUGCAUGACAUGCCAGACCUCUGCACAGCCUUUGCAUAUCUCUUUGGCCUUUUGUAUGCCAUGAACAUUGACUAUCCAAAGCAGAUGGCCUACACCUUUGAAGCAAUUCAGACCAUCUUCUUCGAGCUUGGAUCUGUUCGCUCCCAGCGCACACGGUCUCUGAAAACAAAGCUAUCACUGUAAACGUUCAUCAAGAUACCUCCAGUGAGAAGGACAACUUAGUUCAUGUCUGCGAGUUAAUUCAUGUUUCAAGUUCAUUGUCAGUGCUUGUGUAAAAUGUUUAGUAAAUGCUUGCACAUUGUCAUCUUAUGCACAUAAGCCAGUUUUGCCUGUGGAAGUUGUGUGGUUUAGGCCCAACCAAGUUCAUUGUCAGUGCUUGUGUAAAAUGUUUAGUAAAUGCUUGCACCAUGGUCAUUUUAAGCACAUAAGCCAGUUUUGCCUGUGGAAGUUGUGUGGUUUAGGCCCAACCAGGUUCAUUGUCAGUGCUUGUGUAAAAUGUUUAGUAAAUGCUUGCACCAUGGUCAUUUUAAGCACAUCAGCCAGUUUUGCCUGUGGAAGUUGUGUGGUUUAGGCCCAACCAAGUUCAUUGUCAGUGCUUGUGUAAAAUGUUUAGUAAAUGCUUGCACAUUGUCAUUUUAAGCACAUCAGCCAGUUUUGCCUGUGGAAGUUGUGUGGUUUAGGCCAAACCAGGAUCAUUGUUCAGUUAAAACUUCAGUAUAUGAACAUGCAGUCAUUUCAAGCAUGUAAGUCCCUUUUGUGAAAUCCUGUGAACAUUUGUGGAUAGGUGAGAUGCUAGUUGAAUAGGCUUUUGUCUUUAAUUUUUGUUUUAUCAUUUAAUGUUCUAAAGUGUUUGAGGCCCAGCAGGUCUUUCAUGGAUCACAAAAAUGUAUGAUCACAAAGGCAGUUAGGAUCUUUUUUUUCACUGUCAAGAGUUUUAUAAUAUGACGGCACGUUUGAUUGUACUUGAGGCCAGACCUCAGUGUUUAUAUUGACAUUUGAAUGUCACGUGGAAUAAAAGUUGUUCUGCUUUA